rnacentral:lncRNA from 1 species
AGAUCUUUUCCGUUAGCUUUAUCGGACUUCAUCGCCGCCCAUGAGCAUAUACUUCCUACUCCGGCACCUUCUUUCUCCCUCUGGUACUUUCUUUUUCUUUUUAAGUUAGGACCGGCAUGCCGCACGCGUGUCCCUGUGGCCGUUGCAUUUGCUCUCGCAUAUCUUCCGAACAACACCCCUACUAACUCCUGCUGCUGCUGCUGCUGCUGCUGCUGCUGCUGCUCC